rnacentral:rRNA from 1 species
GACGAACCGUGCGAACGUUGUUCGGAAUCACUGGGCUUAAAGGGCGCGUAGGCGGGUCCCCAAGUUCGGGGUGAAAUCUUUCGGCUUAACCGGAAAACAGCCUUGAAUACUGGGAGUCUCGAGCGAGGUAUGGGCAGCUGGAACUUCCGGUGGAGCGGUGAAAUGCGUUGAUAUCAGGAGGAACACCGGUGGCGAAGGCGGCAUCCUGGACCAACACUGACGCUGAGGAGCGAAAGCCAGGGGAGCAAACGGG